UAGGGAAUCUUCCACAAUGGACGCAAGUCUGAUGGAGCAACGCCGCGUGAGUGAAGAAGGUUUUCGGACCGUAAAGCUCUGUUGUUGGUGAAGAAGGAUAGAGGUAGUAACUGGCCUUUAUUUGACGGUAAUCAACCAGAAAGUCACGGCUAACUACGUGCCAGCAGCCGCGGUAAUCGUAGGUGGCAAGCGUUGUCCGGAUUUAUUGGGCGUAAAGCGAGCGCAGGCGGAAGAAUAAGUCUGAUGUGAAAGCCCUCGGCUUAACCGAGGAAUUGCAUCGGAAACUGUUUUCUUGAGUGCAGAAGAGGAGAGUAGAACUCCAUGUGUAGCGGUGGAAUGCGUAGAUAUAUGGAAGAAUACCAGUGGCGAAGGCGGCUCUCUGGUCUGCAACUGACGCUGAGGCUCGAAAGCAUGGGUAGCGAACAGGAUUAGAUACCCUGGUAGUCCAUGCCGUAAACGAUGAGUGCUAAGUGUUGGGAGGCUUCCGCCUCUCAGUGCUGCAGCUAACGCAUUAAGCACUCCGCCUGGGGAGUACGACCGCAAG
rnacentral:rRNA from 1 species